AUGACAUCUAUUACUGGUAGCAAUUCGGAGACAUAUAAUAAUGAUGUCACAGCAUUAGCUAGGGAAAUUGAAGUCAUCAUGGACAAAGUUGUGGAAUGUGGGGCACCCGAAGGAAGCGAUGGGUACUACAUGGCAACUAAAUUGUUUGGGAGAUCUAUACAUCGUUGCUUCUUUAAUAUCAUGAAGACAAGUGAGGGCAGACUUGACUGGCUGAAGAGGCAUUAUGCAAACAGGAAAAUGCAUUAG
rnacentral:rRNA from 1 species